rnacentral:rRNA from 1 species
AUUGAACGCUGGCGGCAUGCUUUACACAUGCAAGUCGAACGGUAACAGGCCGCAAGGUGCUGACGAGUGGCGAACGGGUGAGUAAUGCAUCGGAACGUGCCCAGUCGUGGGGGAUAACGCAGCGAAAGCUGUGCUAAUACCGCAUACGAUCUAUGGAUGAAAGCGGGGGACCGUAAGGCCUCGCGCGGUUGGAGCGGCCGAUGUCUGAUUAGGUAGUUGGUGGGGUAAAGGCCUACCAAGCCGACGAUCUGUAGCUGGUCUGAGAGGACGACCAGCCACACUGGGACUGAGACACGGCCCAGACUCCUACGGGAGGCAGCAGUGGGGAAUUUUGGACAAUGGGCGCAAGCCUGAUCCAGCAAUGCCGCGUGCAGGAAGAAGGCCUUCGGGUUGUAAACUGCUUUUGUACGGAACGAAACGGCUCUCUCUAAUACAGGGGGUUAAUGACGGUACCGUAAGAAUAAGCACCGGCUAACUACGUGCCAGCCGCCGCAGUAAAAC